GUAAUAUUAAACAGUGCAAAUGUUUUCAUGAAUGGGAGUAAGACUUGUGGUAUACGAUAUCUUAAAUACAAUUUUUGUUCCAGUAGCCAGCCAGUUCCAAGUGUCAGUCCAAAUGGCAGAUUAGAAGCAACUCAAAGGAAGAUGUUUACCUAGAUCUUCAACCAAGUCCGAGGCUUUGCCAUGUCAUCAAUCUAGCAGCAAGGAUAGCAGCUGGAAUGAAGAUUAAUUAUCACAUUGAUCUUCAACCAAGUCUGAGGCUUUGUCAUGAAAGAAAUAAUGCAAGCUAGCAAUGAUUACUGCUUUUCAGUAUGGAUAGAGUUUUAGAAUGAUCAUUGGAGCAGACUUUUGAGGUUAGCAUUACAGCUUGUCCUUACAGAUUGAUGUUGGAAAUGGCUAUUAGAGUUGACUUUUAAAGAUAACAAUACUGUGGCUGAAGGAUAUAAUUGUGUGAUUAAUUCUCCAUACUCCUUAGAGAUGUUGUGAAGGUUGUUAAUAUGUUGACAGCUGGGCAUGCUCUCUUUGCAAGACAUCAGAUUUAAAAUCCCCAUUCUGACACUGAACAUGACUGCUGAUUUGUAUAUCCUGCACUACCAAACAGAUGCCUUACUUUUGCAAGGAUUUUACUGCCAAUCUGAAGAAGACCAAGAGUUACCAUAUGUUCCUUUGGGCUAUUUCUAACUCUACCAAACAGUUUCCAAUAUGAACGGUUCAUUUAAAUCUUGCAUUAAACAAGAGCAAGAAUGCAGUUGAUAAAUUCUAAAAUAACUAAUGUAAAGAUUCUCCAUUUUCAACAAGAGUGGAAGCUUUAGUUAAGGUUAAUGUAUUGUGUUUUUAACGUUCACCUAACUUUCUUUUUCUCCCUAAUCCAUUAAAUGCUAUGGAUUUUUGAAGUCCAUGGUUAAAGUUUCUCAAACAUCAAUAAACAUGUCAAACCUUCUUGGAAUUAUGUGAAAAAUUAAAAGCUUGAGCAUAAUUUUAUUUAAAGAUAGUAUCAAAAGCAAAACUUGGAAUUACAUUUUUUGUAUCUCACUUAUAAAUUGACUAUAGUUUUUCCUGACAGUCUUAAUGUACAAAAUUUAGACAUAAAAUUCUAUAAAGCCUUAACAUUAAGAGAAAAAACCAAAAGUAAUAUUUAAAAAUUUUCAGUAUUUUUCUGAAAGAUGAAGUUAGUUUUGUUUUGCAUUUGUGAUUUACAUUUAGCCUUUGGUUAUCCUCUUUAAGACACCAAUAACAGCUUAAAACCCUCCUUGGAAUGUUAACAUAAUUAUCUUUAUGAUUAAGAAAAAUUGUUUCAUUUUCAUGUCAUCCUUCCAUAUUUUAUUGGUAAAUUUAUUUCAGUUUUUACCACCAACAUUACACAGCAGUUACACAGACAAAUCUUUGGGGUUCUGCGUAAUCCUUUCAAAAGUUUUUUAUUGCUGUUUUUACAAGUUGUGUAGUGUACAUGUGUUUAUUAUUUCUACUUGUAUCAUAUACAUGUUUUUUGAUUGAUGAUUAGACUGUAGAACUAUUGUAAUUUGAGCAGUACCAGAGUAAAUGAACUGUUUUACAAAGCAUAACUUAACAGUUCUUUGGCCUAAGAGAUGAGUUCAGCAAAUGUAGAUUCAGCAAAUUCCCUGAUCAGUAAAUGUAGAUUCUUCAAAUUCCGUGAUAAGCAGCUAUGUACAUAAAAGUUGAAUUAGUUGAAUUCCAUCUUAAAGAGUUCACUUAGUCUGUAAAAUAAUAACUUUUCAAAGAUAAGUGUACCCAUUUCCUUUCAUUUGAAACUUUUUCUUCUUCUGUAGGAUAUUUAGUGGUUCAAAUAUAUGCAAGUUGAGAAUAACAUUACAUGCAAGUUUUCAGAAUUUCUACUGAAAAAUGAAAAUAAAAUUUGCAUCAAAGUAUACUGUCUGCAAAUAAAGUUCACUGCAAGAGUCUCACGUAAACUUUUUUUAUCAUGUCAAUUACGCAUAGAAAUAACCAAAAAGAAAAAAAAAUCUCUUUCCUAUAGCUUCUAUAUACAGUACAACUUACAAUUUUUUAGAAGCACCUCCCUAAAUUUUAUUUAAUGCAUAAAAUAACAAGCCCCCUAUUAAUAUACCGUGAAGGAAUAGGAUAAAGUCAACUUGGUUAUCAGAAUUUGUGAUUAUCUCCCCUAAUCAAAAAACACUUUUGCCAGUUUAGGAAUUUUACUGGAAAUAUUUCUUUGUAAAGGAGGGCUUUCAAUACAAUUCAAAGUAGUAAGCUGAAAUCUGAAAGUAGGCGGCUAUUUGACAUGCGGACAAAAUAACUUGCUGCCUUAAUGUCAGGGGGUAAAUAGAGCAAAAUCUUGCAUUCUCCCAAUCUCCUGGCAUCCAUCUUUCAAAUUACAUUAUUUUUUAUAUGAAAUUAAGGAAGUUUGCUUGCUUUACGAUAUUUGUCAGAUUUUCAGAAUUCUCUAGUUUAUUCAUUUGAAUGUCUUAAAAAAAAAUUGCCCAUUGACCCCCAUUUUUUCGAUUUAUAAAUCUUUUACAUGUAUAAUGAUAAGCCAUCUGAAAGUCUCAUUAAAUUUUGAUUAUUUUUUAAUAGUUUUUGAGAACUUAAACUUGUCAAUGAUAAAGCUAUGAUAAGUCAAGAGAGAUAUUUUUCCCGCAAAAAUUUCAAUGAUCUUUCUCUGAAACAAGCACAUUGACCUUUAAACUAUUUUUGCUCUUUUGAUUCCUUUAUAAAUCACCUAUCAAUAUAAACUAGUGUUUUGAAAGUCCUUGAUGAACAAUUGUUUCUUUGAUCCAAAAAAUUGAAUAUAAGAGGUAUGGAUAUACAAUAAUCAACUAAUGCAAAGGUUGUUUAAUUUAAUAAGAAAGACAACUUUUGGUUUGUACCGCACUGUCAUCAUGAUUAAAACUACAGAAGAGUACAAAAUUCCAAAGUGAUAAUGUGUUCUUCACAAUUUGUCACCAUAAGAAGAAUUACAAAUAGAGAGUGAAAGAAGGUAUGACGGUAAACUGGAUUAAGAAUGUUAAAUAAAAUAUGUUUUUGCAAAUUUGGACGACAAUUAAUUGCAAUUAUGUACCAUUUAAACAAUAAAAGUAGUAUAGACUUGCAAAUCCGUACCAUUACAUCACAUGAAGUAGUAUGGUUGUCUGAGCGAAGCCAAUUGGAAGCACGUACCUCUUAGUGAAGCUAAUUGGGAGCACACCCUCUGUCUUGUUGCGAAGCUGAUUGGAAGCAGUACAUAUAUACCUCUGUCUGCAAAAGCUAGUUAGAAGCAGUACCCCUGGCAGAGAGGUCCCAAUUAGAAGUACGUAACUCUGAGGGAAGCCAAUUGGAAGCAUGUACCUCUGCAAAAUUUGAUUAAAAAUUAUUCAACAAAUUUUAUUUAACAUUCUUUUUAAAGUUUACUUUCAUACCAGCUCUCAUUUUCUAUUUAUAAUUACACUUGUUGACAUUGUGACGUUCAAAUUAUCACUUCACCAUUUAGAAGAUCAUUCUAAUAAAUUGCUACAACACACGCUCAAGUAUUGUUAUAAGGGUAAAAUAUUUUAUUAAUUUUGUUCUAUGCACCUUUAAACGAUAACUUAACUUACUGUAACUUUUUGACAGCUAAGGUUCCUCAAGAUCUAUAGGGAGGCUGAUAUAAGUUUGCUAUCAAUGGCAUAUGAUACAGUAAUAGGGGAGGUAUUGAUGUGGCUAAUUUCAAAUGUUACUUUUAGCCAUGUCAAGUAGUUGCAUAUCAGAAAAAGACCCAUUUUUUUACUGAUUUAACAUAUUAAUUCAUGGACCCCUCUUUUAAAAAAUUACAGUAGGCCUGAAUAUGUUUAAAUUGUCGGGUUGUUGUCUCUUUGACACAUUCCCCAUUUCCAUUCUCUUGAAGAAACCACCAAUGGAAUUGUUCUAAAUAACAUAAAUAUACAGCCAAUAAUGAAUAAUGAUGUUUUUUUUACUAAAAUCAUGUAUUAAGAUCAUUUGUGCCAAUUUGAAGAAAUCACCAGUGAUAUAUUUUAAAUUAGAUAAAUAUGCAUUCAAAAAUUAUGUUUUUUAUACUGAAAUUGUGAAAAUAUAAUAAAAAUGAAUUAUUUUAAAAGAAUAUUGUUCUUAGGUUAAUGAUUUUAUAAGAACAGACUUUGCAAUCAUAGUUUGUUAAAUAAUAUUUGUGGUCUUGAAAAAUCUUGAUAUCCUUGAAAUAGAAUAAUUACUCAUGGCACCAAAUAGAUUUUACUAGAAAUUAUUUUGUUAUGUAGUAGUUUAAGUGAAAAUAGAAACCCUUAAUAUAUCUUUUAACAGUUUUGAAUUAUAAACCUCAUAUAUACUUUAAAAAAAUGUUUUAAAUAAAUGAAGAAUAAAGUUGACAUUUUUUUAGUUUAAAUUCAAAUUGCAGAUUUGACAUGAUAAAUUCAUUAUUUUUAUUUACGUUCCCUAGUAAGCCUAAGAUUAGAAAAUCUUGAAAAAGAAAAAGAAAAAAAAUGUACCAGCAGUAAAAGGAGUUAUAAUUUUAAGAAUGAAUUCAAAGUUUUCCAAUGUAUAUAGCUGCAUACUAAGAUUGGUAUCUGUUUACUUGACAAAAACAGGAUUUUUAUUUUCAGUCUUCGGGUCAUGUAUAAAAAAAUGGAUUUCCAGAAUGUAGGCUUGAACUUCUUUUCUUUACACUAUUGAACCCCAACCAAAAAGAAACACUAGUUUUCUCCGCCAAUUAAAAGUGGUGUGUUUACAAACAAUUCAAAUGUUCGUCUGUCUACAAUUUUUGUAAAUGCAAAAUCUCCCCCCAAAAAGAUAAGUAUAUUAAAGCAAUCUUAACCAUUCACUGUGCUUCCAAGCACUUUGGGUACCAUUCUAGAGUUAUGCCCCUUUCCAUAUGGAAAAAAUUCUGAAUGUUUGUUUCUGUUCUCUAAAUUUAAGUUUGUCUCAACUAAAUUAAAUGAAAUAUAUAUAUUACUACUAAACGCAGUAAAGUUCAAAUUUUGGCAGCUUCACUUUUACAGUUCUUGAGUUAUGUCCCUUUAUAACGUUGUAUGCUAGAGGGGCAUCAUCUGUGGAGGUAUUGACCCCAUUUAUUUUAAAUAUAGUGGAAGCAGAUUAGUUAUUUGGGUAUUUUGUAGCAUGAUUAAUUAUAAUUAAAUUUUGCUUGUGUUUCAUAGACCUAAUGUUGGAAAUAUUUUGAAAACCUUCACUUUCUACAGAGUGUAAAGUUUCUUUUUAUAAUACUCUAACUGAUAUAUUUGCACAUGAUCGUGUAUUUUGUUUUGAAUAGUUCUCCUUUUUAUACUGUCCAAAGUAUAGCUCUUGAGACAGUUCUUCUAAGCAAAUAGUUUCAAAAAAGGUUUCCAACAUUGUUCCACUACAUUGAUUUUAUCUCGUUUUGAACACAGUUAACAAUUAUUUCAUUAAUUAUCAAUACAUGUUUAAUGAUUUUCUUUAUGUGUAUAUUUUUAUGCUUAUAAGUUGUACUCAUGUAUAUUGUAUGUAUAAUAAUUCCCUAAGCAUAAAAGUAUAGCAGGAAUUGCACAUUUGUAAUAUAUGUACAUGAAGGGAUAGGAAUUUAAGCACCAAAAUGUUUGGUUUUAAAAGUGACAUCUUUAUGUAUUUUAGUUCUAGUUUGAACUUUGAACAUUGUAUAUUUAGGGAUGUUUAAAGAACAAAGAUUUGCAUAUUUUUGUAUUACUAAGUGGAAUGGCUAUUAUAUAUACAAACAUAAUCAUAUUUCGACUUUUGUACCAAAUAUUUGAUAGCUGUAGUGCUUAUGACAAGAUUUCUUUUUUACUUUCGUAUUUACAACGAAAUUAUUUUUUCUUUUUCUCAUUUACCUAGAGAGGUCACAGAACAUUUAGUAGUAAACGGAGAAAUUAUUGUAUAUACGGUACUAGCGUACUAUUUUUAUGAGUUCACAUCAGUAGGUAUAAGACAUGUGACUAAUGUUAUAGCAGGAAAUUUUUUCCUGGAGAUUAUCACUUUCUAGCCCGCUGCAGACAGGGCAACAUUCAUGUUCCAUUCAUAUUAUGAAUAUACUUUGAUACAUGCAUUUAUAUAUUUUUCAAAACAAAACAAUAUAUACGUCCGAGUAUGUCUCGUGAGACGACUUGUCGCAAUGGGUCGGAGCAUAUAUGACUGAUUAUGCACCCAGGUCGGACCCAGGUUUCCAGUUUCCCAUUAUUGGGUUUGUUUGGUUGUUCCUGGCUGGCGAGGUCGUUGAUGAUCGAGUUAUUCAGUUUACAUUCAUGUCAACCAUAUUAUAUCUCUUGUUUGUUCUAGCUAAGUUGUACCUAAUAGUAUUUUUCGAGUACAUUUCAAGGUUUUUGUUAUUAGGAGUAAUUGCGUAAUUUCUUUUUUCAUAUGUUUAUAUAUAUUUAUAUUAAGACAUAUGUAUGUAAUUAUUUAAUAAAUUCUGUUGUUUACUAUGCUUGCUGGACUAUCGGCAACACUUUAUAUAUGUAGUAUUCAUUUAUGCCUUAUAAUAGAUAUGAGCGUAUAGGGUAUACAUUUAGUUAUUCAAAUGCAAAAGG